CGAGUUGGCUAAGCAGUCGCUUCAUAUUUUUCAUGAAGAGGAAAGUCCGGGCUCCAUAGGGCAAAGUGCCAGAUAACAUCUGGGCGGCGUGAGCCGAUGGAAAGUGCCGCAGAAAAUAUACCGCCUUGCAUUUUUGUGAGGUAAGGGUGAAAAGGUGCGGUAAGAGC
rnacentral:RNase_P_RNA from 1 species